UCCCAGGUUCAAACGAUUCUCCUGCCUCAGCCCCUCAAGUAGCUGGGACUACAAGCGCACACCACCACGCCUGACUAAUUUUUUGUAUUUUUUUGUAGAGGCGGGGUUUCACCAUGUUGCCCAGACUGGUCUUGAACUCCUGAGCUUAAGCAAUCCACCUGCCUCGGCCUCCCAAAGUGUUGGGAUCACAGGCGUGAGCCACCGCAUCCGGCCUCAUGUUCUUUUUCAUUAAAGAGAGAAAUCAACUAUUCAGGACCGGCCCCCACCUUUCCUCAGGAGUCAUUUCUGUUCUGCACAGGCCUGCUGAACUGGGUGCUUUAUAUAGGACACUGUCAUCUCUCAAGUACCCAUCUUGGAGGGUACGGACCCCACAUGAGGGUGAGGCUCUCUGCACACUCCAGAGUGAGGACUUUAAUAAUCUAGUGGACUGUACAUGUUGGGAGGGGAAGAGCGGGGUGCCGAGGGUCUGGAGGGAGAAGAAUUGACUGCCCCUUUUGCUCUUGGAGUUAAGCAGAAAUCUAAA
rnacentral:sRNA from 1 species